GUCUUAGCUAAGUGGUUAAUGCAACAGAAUCUAAAUCUGUCUGUGUGGGUUCAAAACCUGCUGAAGAUG